rnacentral:sRNA from 1 species
GGCUUGGAGAAGGGGCUUUGCACCCGCCGCCGCUGUUUGUCCCCGCGCGGCCCCCGUCCACUGCCCUGCGGUUGCUCUGCGGGCUGAAAAGUUUCUCCCGGUGCAGAAUUCCGGGCUCAGCGACAGCCUGCGCCGAGUGUGCGCACCUGUCGGUGACCCGCCCGUCCGCCGGCCACAGUGACUGAUUUUGGCUUAGCGGUAAAGAAGCAAAGUAGGAGUGAAGCCAUGCUGCAGGCCACAUGUGGGACUCCUAUCUAUAUGGCCCCUGAAGUUAUCAGUGCCCACGACUAUAGCCAGCAGUGUGACAUUUGGAGCAUAGGCGUCAUAAUGUACAUGUUAUUACGUGGAGAACCACCCUUUUUGGCAAGCUCAGAAGAGAAGCUUUUUGAGUUAAUAAGAAAAGGAGAACUACAUUUUGAAAAUCCAGUCUGGAAUUCCAUAAGUGACUGUGCUAAAAGUGUUUUGAAACAACUUAUGAAAGUAGAUCCUGCUCACAGAAUCACAGCUAAGGAACUACUAGAUAACCAGUGGUUAACAACGGAGUCUCGCUCUGUCACCAGGCUGGAGGGCAGUGACACAAUCUCAGCUCACUGCAACCUCUGCCUCCUGGGUUCAAGUCAACUGCAACCUCUGCCUCCUGGGUUCAAGUGAUUCUCCUGCCUCAGCCUCCUGAGGGACUAAAGGCAUGCACCACCAUGCCCAGCAAUUUUUUGUAUUUUUAGUAGGCACAGAAUUUCACCAUAUUGGCCAGGAUGGUCUCGAUCUCUUGGCCUCAUGAUCUGCCCGGCUCGGCCUCCCAAAGUGCUGGGAUUACAGGUGUGAGCCACCAUGCCCGGCCGAUAAUAUUCUUAAAAGAUCACUCUGACUAUUGGGGUGGGGGGUAGUGGCUUGGAAAUAGGGAAUUAGAUAGAUGUCGAAGUA